CCUACGGGAGGCUGCAGUGAGGAAUAUUGGUCAAUGGGCGCGAGCCUGAACCAGCCAAGUCGCGUGAGGGAGGACGGCCCUACGGGUUGUAAACCUCUUUUGCCGGGGAGCAACGGGCGUCACGUGUGGCGCCACUGAGAGUACCCGGAGAAAAAGCAUCGGCUAACUCCGUGCCAGCAGCCGCGGUAAUACGGAGGAUGCGAGCGUUAUCGGGAUUUAUUGGGUUUAAAGGGUGCGUAGGCGGAUCGUUAAGUCAGUGGUCAAAUUGAGGGGCUCAACCCCUGCCUGCCAUUGAAACUGGCGUUCUUGAGUGGAAGAGAAGUAUGCGGAAUGCGUGGUGUAGCGGUGAAAUGCAUAGAUAUCACGCAGAACCCCGAUUGCGAAGGCAGCAUGCCGGCUUCCGACUGACGCUGAGGCACGAAAGCGUGGGGAUCGAACAGGAUUAGAUACCCCAGUAGUC
rnacentral:rRNA from 1 species